UCCCUGGUGGUCCAGUGGUUAGGACUCCAUGCUCUGCUUGCUGAGGGCCCAGGUUCGAUCCCUGGUUGGGGAA